GGGGAUUUAGCUCAGUGGCAUAAAGUGCCUGCCUUGUAAGCAGACAGUCAUGAGUUCAAUCCCUG
rnacentral:tRNA from 1 species